CGGGACGUGGCGCAGUCAGGCAGCGCGCAUCGCUGGGGGCGAUGAGGUCCCCGGUUCAAAUCCGGGCGUCCCGACCA
rnacentral:tRNA from 1 species